UGGGGAAUAUUGCACAAUGGGGGAAACCCUGAUGCAGCAACGCCGCGUGAAGGAAGACGGUUUUCGGAUUGUAAACUUCUGUUCUUAGUGAAGAAUAAUGACGGUAGCUAAGGAGCAAGCCACGGCUAACUACGUGCCAGCAGCCGCGGUAAUACGUAGGUGGCAAGCGUUGUCCGGAAUUACUGGGUGUAAAGGGAGCGUAGGCGGGAUGCCAAGUCAGCUGUGAAAACUAUGGGCUUAACUUGUAGACUGCAGUUGAAACUGGUAUUCUUGAGUGAAGUAGAGGUUGGCGGAAUUCCGAGUGUAGCGGUGAAAUGCGUAGAUAUUCGGAGGAACACCGGUGGCGAAGGCGGCCAACUGGGCUUUAACUGACGCUGAGGCUCGAAAGUGUGGGGAGCAAACAGGAUUAGAUACCCUGGUAGUCCACACCGUAAACGAUGAUUACUAGGUGUUGGAGGAUUGACCCCUUCAGUGCCGCAGUUAACACAAUAAGUAAUCCACCUGGGGAGUACGACCGCAAGGUUGAAACUCAAAGGAAUUGACGGGGGCCCGCACAAGCAGUGGAUUAUGUGGUUUAAUUCGACGCAACGCGAAGAACCUUACCAGGGCUUGACAUCCCACUAACGAAGUAGAGAUACAUUAGGUGCCCUUCGGGGAAAGUGGAGACAGGUGGUGCAUGGUUGUCGUCAGCUCGUGUCGUGAGAUGUUGGGUUAAGUCCCGCAACGAGCGCAACCCCUAUUGUUAGUUGCUACGCAAGAGCACUCUAGCGAGACUGCCGUUGACAAAACGGAGGAAGGUGGGGAUGACGUCAAAUCAUCAUGCCCUUUAUGACUUGGGCUACACACGUACUACAAUGGCGUUAAACAAAGAGAAGCAAGACCGCGAGGUGGAGCAAAACUCAGAAACAACGUCCCAGUUCGGACUGCAGGCUGCAACUCGCCUGCACGAAGUCGGAAUUGCUAGUAAUCGUGGAUCAGCAUGCCACGGUGAAUACGUUCCC
rnacentral:rRNA from 1 species